AAAGUGGAGCUGAGACUAACUAGCCAAAACUUUACCGAAGCUCUUAAAGAUAACACAAGUGAAGAAUACAAGACAUUUGAGAAAGACUUCAAAAGCCAGAUGUAUGAAGUUUAUAAAGACCUCCCUGGUUAUAAGGAUUUAGUUAUUACUGAACUGAGAAAUGGCAGUGUCAUUGUGGAUCACAAAGUAAUUGUGGAGGUAGAAUAUCAGCUAAAUCGG